GCGUAGGCGAUGGAUAACAGGUUGAUAUUCCUGUACCACCUAUAAUCGUUUUAAUCGAUGGGGGGACGCAGUAGGAUAGGCGAAGCGUGCGAUUGGAUUGCACGUCUAAGCAGUAAGGCUGAGUAUUAGGCAAAUCCGGUACUCGUUAAGGCUGAGCUGUGAUGGGGAGAAGACAUUGUGUCUUCGAGUCGUUGAUUUCACACUGCCGAGAAAAGCCUCUAGAUAGAAAAUAGGUGCCCGUACCGCAAACCGACACAGGUAGUCAAGAUGAGAAUUCUAAGGUGAGCGAGCGAACUCUCGUUAAGGAACUCGGCAAAAUGACCCCGUAACUUCGGGAGAAGGGGUGCUCUUUAGGGU
rnacentral:rRNA from 1 species